UCCCGCAGCAAUGCGGGAUGAUGGCGACCGGCAAACGGGUGCGGAACACGUACACAACCUUCCUUUUAGUGGGGAAUAGCCCGGGGAAACCCGGAUUAAUACCCCGUAACAUAAUGAAGUGGCAUCACUUUAUUAUUAUAGCAGCAAUGCGCUUUAAGAUGGGUGUGCGACUGAUUAGGCAGUUGGCGGGGUAACGGCCCACCAAACCUACGAUCAGUAACUGGUGUGAGAGCACGACCAGUCACACGGGCACUGAGACACGGGCCCGACUCCUACGGGAGGCAGCAGUAAGGAAUAUUGGUCAAUGGACGCAAGUCUGAACCAGCCAUGCCGCGUGGAGGAUGAAGGUCCUCUGGAUUGUAAACUUCUUUUAUCUGGGAAGAAAUCCACGAAUUCUUUUGUGGUUGACGGUACCAGAUGAAUAAGCACCGGCUAACUCCGUGCCAGCAGCCGCGGUAAUACGGAGGGUGCAAGCGUUAUCCGGAUUCACUGGGUUUAAAGGGUGCGUAGGUGGGCAGGUAAGUCAGUGGUGAAAUCUCCGGGCUUAACUCGGAAACUGCCAUUGAUACUAUCUGUCUUGAAUACCGUGGAGGUCAGCGGAAUAUGUCAUGUAGCGGUGAAAUGCUUAGAUAUGACAUAGAACACCAAUUGCGAAGGCAGCUGGCUACACGAAUAUUGACACUGAUGCACGAAAGCGUGGGGAUCAAACAGGAUUAGAUACCCUGGUAGUCCACGCCCUAAACGAUGGAUACUCGACAUACGCGAUAUACUGUGUGUGUCUGAGCGAAAGCAUUAAGUAUCCCACCUGGGAAGUACGAUCGCAAGAUUG
rnacentral:rRNA from 1 species